UACGUAGGGUGCAAGCGUUAUCCGGAAUCACUGGGUGUAAAGGGUGUGUAGGCGGAUUUGUGCGUCAGAGGUUAAAUAUCCAGGCUUAACUUGGAAAAUGCCUUUGAUACGGCAAGUCUUGAGUAUAAGAGAGGAAGAUGGAAUUCCUGGUGUAGAAGUGAAAUUCGUAGAUAUCAGGAGGAACACCGGUGGCGAAGGCGGUCUUCUGGCUUAUUACUGACGCUGAGGCACGAAAGCGUGGGGAUCAAACAGGAUUAGAUACCCUGGUAGUCCACGCCCUAAACGAUGUAUGCUUGGUGUUUGCCACGUAAGUGGCAAGUGCCGGAGGUAACCCGUUAAGCAUACCACCUGGGGAGUACGAUCGCAAGGUUGAA
rnacentral:rRNA from 1 species